AUUAGUUAAGGUCUUUAAACCCAAAGAAUUGGCGGUACUUAUUCCAUUCAGAGGAACCUACCCUAUAAUUGAUAGUACACGAUUAGCUUUACUUAAUUUAUUUGUUUGUAUAUCUCCGUUAAUCAGAAGAUCUUUUUAGAGUUAUAAUUUUCUUGAAUUAUAAUUAUAAUUUAUUUCAGGUCAAGGUGCAGCUUAUAAUUAAGAAGAGGUGGGUUACAAUAGAUUAUUGUUUAUAAUGGAUUUAAUUUUUAAAAUUUUAAUGAAGGUGGAUUUGAUAGUAAUUUAAUUUAUUUAAUUUAAUUGAUAUUGGCUCUAAGGUGUGUACACAU
rnacentral:rRNA from 1 species